UGCAGUCGAACGGCAGCAUGAUCUAGCUUGCUAGAUUGAUGGCGAAGUGGCGAACGGGUGAGUAAUACAUCGGAACGUGCCCUGUAGUGGGGGAUAACUAGUCGAAAGAUUAGCUAAUACCGCAUACGACCUGAGGGUGAAAGUGGGGGACCGCAAGGCCUCAUGCUAUAGGAGCGGCCGAUGUCUGAUUAGCUAGUUGGUGGGGUAAAGGCCCACCAAGGCGACGAUCAGUAGCUGGUCUGAGAGGACGAUCAGCCACACUGGGACUGAGACACGGCCCAGACUCCUACGGGAGGCAGCAGUGGGGAAUUUUGGACAAUGGGCGAAAGCCUGAUCCAGCAAUGCCGCGUGUGUGAAGAAGGCCUUCGGGUUGUAAAGCACUUUUGUCCGGAAAGAAAUGGCUCUGGUUAAUACCUGGGGUCGAUGACGGUACCGGAAGAAUAAGGACCGGCUAACUACGUGCCAGCAGCCGCGGUAAUACGUAGGGUCCAAGCGUUAAUCGGAAUUACUGGGCGUAAAGCGUGCGCAGGCGGUUGUGCAAGACCGAUGUGAAAUCCCCGAGCUUAACUUGGGAAUUGCAUUGGUGACUGCACGGCUAGAGUGUGUCAGAGGGGGGUAGAAUUCCACGUGUAGCAGUGAAAUGCGUAGAGAUGUGGAGGAAUACCGAUGGCGAAGGCAGCC
rnacentral:rRNA from 1 species